AAGAAGGAGAACAAAAGUAUGCGUCCUCAUCUUCUUCGUAGACUUAGCCUCCGCCUCCAUUCUUAUGUCUUCUUCACCUUCUCUCUUCAAUUAUAACCAUUAUACCAAGUUUCGUGUAAAACUGAGACCACAUUUGUGAUCGUUGUGAUCUUCUCUUUCAUUUCCAACUUGAAUCGCAAACUUAAACGCCCUAUUCCUCUUUGUCAAAAAUCACACCUCCACCUUUUGAUCAAGAUUCCGGCCACCACGACUAUCACCAACGAAAACUGAGACCAUAUUUGGACUCCACAAAACACCCUCUUUCAUUACCUAUGCUUGAAAUCGCCAAUCGUUAUACUUAAAAAAAAAGGGUUUUCACCCUCGCCGCGCCUGUGUUGCCAAACUCCGGCCAACACGUUCAUCGUCUUGAAAAACUGACAUCAUUUUUGGAUUCCUCUCGUCGAAACCUUCAAGAAGCACUACCCAUUUGCGUGUUUCGGUGAAGUUGAUGCCGGACCCUGUCGGCGCCCCAACACGUCGAAAAUUGUCAGCCAUGUUUCAUUGACUCUGCAAAUUCGUCGAUGCGUUUGGACUCGUUUGUUGCGUGUUUGUCGACAUCUCAUGGUUGCUGAAAAUCAUUAUGGUCCUUAUAUCUUAUGAAAGCGUCAAAUUGAGUUAUUUCAGGUUAUCGAUUGGGGAUUCACGCUCUGAAUAGGUGAUAUUGGGUGAGAGUAAUUUUUCGUAUUUUGUUGAGUUAUGAACAAUUUAGAUUUUUGUAAAUUUGAUUGAUCAAUUGUGUUACUUUUAUCGGUUAUUCAGAGGUAGAAAUUAAUUGUCUCUAAGUUUAGAACUUGCUUUUAUAUCAAAAGUAUUUAUUUAAUGAA